GGCUGGUCUGAAGGUAGUGAGUUAUCUCACUUGAUUGUUCACAGUCAGUUACAGAUUGAACUCCUUGUUCUACUACUUUCCUGCCUUCUUACUACUACACUUGACUAGUCUAAA
rnacentral:Y_RNA from 1 species